rnacentral:rRNA from 1 species
CAGCACCUCAAGUGGUCAGGAUGAUUAUUGGGCCUAAAGCAUCCGUAGCCGGCGCUGUAAGUUUUCGGUUAAAUCUGUACGCUCAACGUACAGGCUGCCGGGAAUACUGCAGCGCUAGGGAGUGGGAGAGGUAGACGGUACUCGGUAGGAAGGGGUAAAAUCCUUUGAUCUAUUGAUGACCACCUGUGGCGAAGGCGGUCUACCAGAACACGUCCGACGGUGAGGGACGAAAGCUGGGGGAGCAAACCGGAUUAGAGACCCGAGUAGUCC